AACUUAAUUUUAUUUAACAUAAACAAUGUAAUUUUCAAAAAAUUAGGUUUACAAGAUUUUUUUAAAUUGAGUGAACAAGAAUAUUUUUCGUUCGUCUUAACCGGAUGUACGUCAUCAACUGAAACGGAUGCAGAUGGAUUGUUCAGCUGCGUACAUGUGAGAUGGAAUGGAGACCAAGCAAGAGUGCAUUCUCAAGGGGCUAUGCAUCCACCUGAAUGAAGAUCCACAGGAUCUGGUGAAUGGAGUAUUUGGAUGAUGACCCUGCAAGAAACAAAGCGGACAUUCAAGGAGACCUUUUUGGGGAUCUGUGUUGUAAAGCAUGAAUUUUCUGAUGCAACAGAAGACCCUGAAGAUAUCGGCAUUGUACUGGAAGAUGUGGAGGUGCUCUCUGGUUUAGGUAAUGUAGCAUUGGCUACAGCCCUGCUACUUGG